ensembl:lncRNA novel transcript
GGGGGAUCCCCAGCUCACCAGCAUGUGUUGUCACCUAGGAACUUGUUAGACAUGCAGAUUUUCAGACCUACUAAUUAGAAACUCUGAGUGGGGUUUGGGGGGUUCGCAAUCUGUGUUUUGUUUGUUUUGUCUUUUGAGACAGGGUUUGGCACUGUUGUCCAGUCUGGAAUGCAGUAGUGGGAUCUUAGCUCACUGCAGUCUCAAACUGCUGGGCUCAAGGAUCCUCCACCUUCAGCUUCCUGAGUAGCUAGGACUAUAGGCUCACAUCCCCACACCCUGCUAACUAAAAAAAAAAAAUUUUUUAGAGAUGGGGUCUCACUAUGCUGUGUUACCCAGGCUGGUCUAGAACUCCUGGACUCAAGCAGUCCUCCCACCUCAGCCUCUCAAAGUGCCAGGAUUAUAGGUGUGAGCCAUCACGCCCAGCCAGCAAUCUGUGUUUUUAACAAGCUGUCCCAGAUUUAGUCAAUGGGAACCCCUUCAAGUUGGCUCUUUUGUCUUUUUGGCAUGUCCCAUCAUAUUUGGAGUCUUAAGAAUUUACAUCUUGGUUAUCUGCUUUCGGCAUUCCACUCUCCUAGCGACGGCUUCACCACCCUGAUGUUCAGCUGAUGUUCAGUUCUAGAGCAACCCAUUUCCUACCUCCAAUUGCUGAUUCUACCUCAUUGAGGACAAAGGAACCAGAUACUUCGUUCAAUCCAGAGACACUUCAACCUUACAGCAGUGCAAAGAUACCAAAGACAAGCUGCCUGGGUUCAAAUACUCUUUUCACCACCAUUAACUCAUUGUUUUGCUUUGUCUAUGUAAUUUAACCUCUUUAUGCCUCAUUUUCUUAGGUAUAAAAUGGGAUUAAUAGUACAACAGAAGAUUGUUGUUGUAAGGACUAAAUCAGCUAAUACUUAUAUAAUGUUCAGAACAAUGCCCAGCAUUACAGAUAUAUUACUUCUGUGUUUAAAUAA